UCUGAGUGUCUUGUGGUCUCAGCGUGGAGCUGCAGCAGUGAGCAGGAAACAGCUGCAGCUCUCUGACUCUGUGUGUUUGCAUACAUGUGUCCUCCUCUCUGCUUCCAGCCAUAAGAGGCUGCUGUCCAUCAGUGGCUGUCCAGGCCUUUCACACACACAUGAUGAUGUCACUGACUCUGCUGCUGGCCACCCUGGGGCUCCUUGUUCAGGCCUCAUCAGGAGAAAUCCUCCUGACUCAGUCUCCUGGAUCUCAGUCUGCUGUUCCAGGACAGACUGUCUCCAUCAGCUGUAAAGUCAGUUCAAGUGUUGGUUACAACCUCGAGUGGUACCUUCAGAAACCUGGAGAAGCUCCUAAACUCCUGAUUUAUAGUGCUUCAGGCCGUCAGUCUGGAGUUUCAGAUCGCUUCAGUGGAAGUGGAUCUGACCCUGACUACACUCUGACCAUCAGUGGAGUUCAGGCUGAAGAUUCAGGAGUUUACUACUGUCAGCAGGGUGAUGCCCGUCCCACCCUGACGGUGCUGCCCCCCUCCAGGGAGCAGCUGCAGCAGGGGACGGCCACGCUCAUGUGCCUGGCCAACAAGGGCUUCCCCUCAGACUGGAGUCUGUCCUGGAAGGUGGACGGCAGCAGCAGCAGCAGCAGCUGGGAGCAGAGCAGCAGCCCCGGGGUGCUGGAGAAGGAUGGCCACUACAGCUGGAGCAGCACCCUGAGGCUCUCUGCAGACCAGUGGAGGAAGGUGGGCUCUGUGACCUGUGAGGCCACCCAGGGCUCCCAGACUCCGCUCUCAGAGACUCUGAGGAGAGACCAGUGUUCCCAGUCCUGAUCUGACUCACUGCUUUUACUCUGCUACUGCUUUCAGUCUGCUCUCAGUAACUCUCUUUAUCUCACACCUUCUUGCUUGUGUUGAUGUUUUCAACAUUUUAAAAACAAUAAAUAUUGGAUCAUGUGUAUUAUAAAAGUAUUGUGACUUCCUUUGUUUGACCUAUAGAAUUUAUUAGGAACAUUCAUCAGAUUAACAAACAAAAAUGGUUACAGUAACAAUCCAGAGGAAUUUUUUGUGUUUUUAAGAGGUUUUCUUACGUUGUUGUUCUAUUUUAUGUACAAUGUUUUGUCUAUUCAAGUAGUUCUUACCCUUGAAUAUUUGAUGUUUAAUGUGUUAAAUAUGAUGAAGAUCUGAAAUAUAAAAUAUAAAUAAUACUAGAAAGUAUUCACAACAUUAGAAAUAAAAAGAAGCGUAUCAUCUGCAUAAAGUCUUACAUCAUGAAUCAAAUUUAGGAUUUUAAUCAAACAAGCAAGUACAUUUACUUGUCCUCAGCGUUUUAAAUGUCUUACUCUUAGAGACUCUGAGGAGAGACCAGUGUUCCCAGUCCUGAUCUGACUCACUGGUUUUGCUCUCAGUCUGCUCUCUGUAACUCUCUCUGUCUCACACGUUCUUGCAUUUGUUGAUGCUUUCAACAUUUUAAAACAAUAAAGAU